rnacentral:rRNA from 1 species
CAAUAUAAGUGAUGGCGACCGGCGCACGGGUGAGUAACACGUAUCCAACCUGCCGAUAACUCGGGGAUAGCCUUUCGAAAGAAAGAUUAAUACCCGAUGGUAUAAUAAAAACCGCAUGGUUUAAUUAUUAAAGAAUUUCGGUUAUCGAUGGGGAUGCGUUCCAUUAGGCAGUUGGUGAGGUAACGGCUCACCAAACCUUCGAUGGAUAGGGGUUCUGAGAGGAAGGUCCCCCACAUUGGAACUGAGACACGGUCCAA